UACCUGCAGCUCAAGUGGUGAUCGUUAUUAUUGGGCUUAAAACGUCCGUAGCCGGUCUUGUAAAUGCCAGGGUAAAUCGUAUGGCUUAACUAUACGAAUUCCGGGUAGACUGUUAGACUUGAGACCGGGAGAAGCUAGAGGUACUCCUGGGGUAGAGGUGAAAUUCUGUAAUCCUAGGGGGACCACCAGUGGCGAAGGCGUCUAGCUAGAACGGGUCUGACGGUGAGGGACGAAGCCCUGGGGCGCAAACGGGAUUAGAUACCCCGGUAGUCCAGGGUGUAAACGCUGCUUGCUUGAUGUUAGUCUGGCUCCGAGCCAGAUUAGUGUCGGAGAGAAGUUGUUAAGCAAGCUGCCUGGGAAGUACGGCCGCAAGACUGAAACUUAAAGGAAUUGGCGGGGAGCACAGCAACGGGAGGAGCGCGCGGUUU
rnacentral:rRNA from 1 species